UUCCUCUUUCUUUCUCCUUCCUUUUCUUUUAUUCCUCCUUCCUUCUCUAUCGCACGCACGGACGCACGCUGCCUCUCCCUCUCUUCUUCUCUUUUCUUCCUCCCUUCUCUUCAUCAUGUCUAGCCUGUAAGAGUGAGCCAUCGAAUGGAGAGAAACCGAGAUUGGAGUGCAUCGGAGAGACCGAGAAUGAGAGAGAUCCGGCCAUGUGGAGGAGGAAAAUAAAAAUGGUACUCCAGUUGUAGUUGCUGACGUUGUAGAAGUGUACUUGGGAUAUUAUGACUGAAGCUCAUCGCAACGGUCGUAAUUGGUGGACCACGGGUUGUCCAUUGUCUUAUAGGUUCUGUUUAUGGCUUGUUAUGCCUGUGUCACUUGUUGUAUAAGCCAUUUCUGUUAUGUAUUUAUAUUGAGGAAAGACUUAAACAAAUAGAUGAUUAAAUGGCUCUUCUUCUUGAUAAUUUUUGAUAGAUGUAUAGGAUGUGAUUUCCGCUAUUAGGUUUAUGCUUUUCGCUGCAUAGCAGAUAGAUGUUAUACUCUGAUUUACCAGGUACAUAUUAUGGGGUAUGUACCAUAUGUUGGCUUUGAGACA